GUAAAUUCAACUUCUCUCUUCAGCUUUGCUAGUGAUUUAUCUAGUUAUCUUCUUGUUUUUUUACUACCUCAGCUAAUCUGCAUUGGCUUUGGUUGUAGGGGUUCAUGUUUUGCCUCCAGCAGGUAGCAUGUAUACUUAGCUGCAUUGCUUGUAUUACAGGAAACGAUGAACUUCAAGAGGCUUCUCGGGUUCUCAACUGUUGCUCGGACAUGGUUUACUGCACGUAAGACAUUUGACUGAGUAUUAAAAACACGGAUUUAACUUAUAUCUACUGCAAGUGUAAAUUGUGAUCGUAAUAUCCAUCUCUAUUAACUUUUCUUUUUCUUUUGGCAGGGUUUGUAGCUGUAUGCAGGUAGGUGAUAACUUGAAUAUAUUCUGCAUCUGAAAUACAUACCACACAUAGAUUUUCCUAAAUCUAUGCCAAAAGGAAGUCCUGAUAAGAUUAUCUAACUAAAAGAUAACUCAAAUCAAGUUUUCCAGAUACAAAAACAAAAAGUCAUUUGAUAUCAAUCCAAUUUUUUGGUUAAGUUAUCCAAUUUUCGGAUAUUCUCCUCUGUUUUUCUUAUUAAGCAACCUCCACUUCCAACCAAGAGGUUGUGAGUUCGAGUCUCCCCAAGAGCAAGGUGGGAAGUUCUUGGAGGGAAGGAUGUCGUGAGUCUAUUUGGAAACAGCCUCUCUACCCCAAGGUAGGGGUAAGGUUUGCGUACACACUACCCUCCCAGACCCUUCUAAGUGGGAUUAUACUGGGUUGUUGUUGUUGUUUUUCUUAUGUCAUAAAAUUUCUUGGUGAUUUCUUGCCUCGAGCUUGUGCUAUUUUUUAUGUAUAAAUUGAUAUAUUACUCUUUACCUUCAUUUUUUUCACAUAAAAUAUGAUAGUAACAGUGCAUCCUCCCAUAUAAUGUUUACGUAACGAAAGCUGAACUAAUAGCCUAUGUUGCUCGAACUGUCUAAAAAUAUUGUCACAUAUAUGUCUGAUCCACCAAAAUUGCAUUAUCGGAUCUUCCAAAAUUACAUUACUUUAUGAAGAUCCAACAAGCACCUGAGCAACAUAGCUAAGUGAUAGUCGUGUAAAACUAAUUAAUUAAUGUUAUAUGUUCUUUUGAUUAAAAAUACUUUUGUUGAUUCAAAAUAAAUUUGCAGACACAGCACAUGGUAGAAAUGAAUAAAAGAGAUGGUAAAUUUGGGCCAAGGCCAAUGGUAGCACCAGCUGUUCAACAAAUGUCUCGUUUGGAUCAGCCUCUUCCUCCAACCAUCGGAUAUGCACCGCCGCAGCCACAAGCUUAUCCCCCAAAGCAGCUACCCACUAUGUACCCCCCACCACCCCAGCAAUCCCCUAUGUACCCACCACCACCCCAGCAAUCCCCUAUGUACCCACCACCACCCCAGCAACCCUAUGGAUACCCACCACCACCAUCACAACCCCAUGGAUAUCCACCAGCCAAUUAUGCUCCUGGUGUCGGAUACCCUCCAUCUGGUUAUCCGCGGUGAAGGUAGUCCGGUGCACUAAGCUUUUACCGUGCGCGAGGUUCAGAGAAGAGUUAGAUCACAUUGAUCUGAUGUAAGCAGCCUUGCUUUGUAUUGCUACAAGAGAAGCCAAGAAGGUACGAACGGAGUGACGACCCUUUAGAAGAUUGUUUCCCACUUGUAGAACAAGUCAAAAUAAGUACAUAUUCUACAGAAAAGGGUCAAAUAUGCCCCUAUACUAUUUGAAAAAGUCUAAUAUUGCCCUCCGUUAUACUAUCAGUCCAAAUAUAUCCCUAACGUCAUACUAUCGGUCCAAAUAUAUCCGUGACAUCAUAAAAGUGGUACAAACAUACCCUUCCUCCGUUAACUGCCUCCUUAUGACAACAUUUCAUUGCCACCUCACCAUUAUACUCCCAUGUUCAUCCCUUCCCCACAACCUUUCUUUCCCGUUCAUUUGAAGAAAAAUCACAUAUCAUAGAUAUGCAAACAAACUACAUCAAAAAGAAUACUAACAACUAAAGAUAAUAUGAAACAAUGUGAACCGAAAAAAUUCUGAUUUUGCUAUUUAGAGAAUGAACGCUUUCUUGUGAUUGAGGCGUGGAAGCAUUCUGAUUUUCUAUGCAAGAAUUAUAUUCUUAGCGGACUGGAGGACGAUCUGUAUAAUGUCUACAGUGGCGUGGAGACGUCAAAAGAAUUGUGGACUACGCUUGAAAAGAAAUAUAAAACUGAAGAUACCGGGUUGAAAAAAUUUAUUGCCGCUAAAUUUUUGGACUACAAAAUGGUAGAUAGAAAGUAUGUUAUUACCCAAGUCCAGGAAUUACAAGUGAUUAUUCACGAUCUCCUUGAUGAAGGUAUAAAUCGAAUUAAUACAGAUGUUGAAAGUAGUAAUUUUAGUAUUUUUACUAACAGACUUUUCAUUGAAGAUCUUGUCAUGAAUGAAGCAUUCCAAGUAGCAGUGAUGAUUGAGAAGUUACCUCCUUUGUGGAAGGACUUCAAAAACUACUUGAAACACAAACGCAAGGAGAUGUCCCUUGAAGAACUCAUUGUUCGGUUGAGAAUCGAAGAGGACAACAAAGCUGCUGAAAAGAGAGGCUGUGGAAACUCAACAGUAAUGGGAGCAAACACUGUUGAGGAUACUUCUCAAAAUAAAAGAAAGAGGAAGCAGGCUUUUGGACCGAAAAGCAACUCAAGCAAGAAGUAGUUCAACGGAAAUUGCUACAACUGUGGAAAAGCUGGGCACCAAUCUACGGAGUGUCGUGCUCCUAAGAAAGACAAGAAGAAGGGUUAAGCAAACAUGGUUGAAAAGCAUGAAGAUGUUGAUGACUUGUGUGAUAUGCUUUCUGAAUGCAACCUGGUGGAAAAUCCUAAGGAGUGGUGGAUUGAUUCUGGCGCCACUCACCAUGUUUGUGCUGUUAGGGAAGCCUUUGCAACAUAUGCUCUUGUUGGACCCAAAGAGACGCUUUCUAUGGGAAAUGUUGCAGCCGCCAAGAUUGAAGGAUGUGGGAAGAUCUUUCUAACGAUGACUUUUGGUAAGGUGGUGACUUUGAACAACAUCCUUCAUGUUCCUGAGAUUAGGAAGUGUCACACCCCUUUUUUCACUUCACUAACCCUCUUUAAAUAAUAAAAAAGAUUUGUAAAGCUCAAAAGGGUUUUAAUUAAAAAGUGACAAAAAUUGUGUUCAAAGGGAUUUUUUCAGAGUCGCCACCUGACAUUGGUUUCGGUGUGUCAGAUCACCGUUUUUUAAAAUGAUUUUUCCUUUUAAAAUACUUUGGACUCCAAACUAAGUCUGCACCAAAAUUUCGGGUAAGGAGGUUCAUUUGACUCGGGGAGAAGGUGUUAGGCACUCCCCAAGUCCCGUGAAAGUCAUGGUUGAGUAAUCGAUCUAGUUGGCUUUUAAAAUAUUCAAAUUGAGGUAAAAACAAAUACAUAAAAGGAAAUAAACACAUAAAAGGCUCGAGGCCGUCCUCACCUAAUAAAAGAAAGAUAAAAAUAAAAAUAAAAUGAGAUUAAAGGUGCUACGAUUUCGCUUUUGGCCUCCAACUACAGAAUACUACGAGGCAUUCCUCGGAAUAAAAUAUAUACAAAUUCUUCGGGGCAUUCCCCGGAUAAAUUUAACUAAGGGAACGACCUCUCGCCUCAAAACUAAAAAAAAAAAUACUAAGGCUUGCUUACCCAAAUGUGGUCAGCUUAAACAUACCACUAGCGGCCCAAAAAAUAAGAUAUAAUUAACUUAGUAUCAAAUCCAGUUUUACGCAUAAACUAUGACCAAAGCCUAAAUUUCAUUUAAUUUCAACUAACUAGAUUCUCAUCUUUUCGAAUUCUGACCCACGUCCCAAUUUACUGUUCCAAAGUCAAUAGAUCAAAGUGUAGUAGUCAUUUUUUAAGUUGGUCAUGCUAGCACUGGAAAUCAAAUUCAAACUAUUGUCUACUAAUUUAAUAAAAAGCAAUAACUAUGCUAAUUCCUCUAAGUCAACAAACAUGCCACAACAGUUCCAAUUAAACAAGCAAAGACAUACAAUCCCAUGAGAUAAUUUUUUUUUAAAAAAAAGACAAGAGCAAAGGGAAAAAAUGGAGCUCACUGAUGUAAUCUCUCAAAGUCUGAUUAAUGAAAGAGCACCCAACAAUGAAUCAUCAGCAAAUCUUUAAAUGAGCAAUUGGACACGCGACCGGAAACCUCGAUAAUGGCCGGAACUACGAACCAGCUUCAAACAACCUCCUCACUUUAAUCGAACUCCAUAGCAACAAUCAAACUCGGCAAGUCCCUUAGAAAUUCUGUCUAGAUUUUUUUCGUCUGUUGUUGGUGCGUGUGUGCGUGUGUCUGGCGUGAGGGAGAUGA
rnacentral:lncRNA from 1 species